rnacentral:lncRNA from 1 species
AAUUAAAGCAGGGAAGGGAAGGGAAGAGAACGAUGGGGUCAGUGAGAUCAUGGGAAGAGACGGUGAGAAAGGCAGAGAAGCUGGUGGAGGAAGCCAUGAAAGACAAUGAUGCAUCCCACGACGCAGCUCACGUCUGGAGGGUCAGAGACCUCGCUCUCUCUCUUGCCCUUGAAGAACAAGGCCUCUCCCUCCUCUCCUCCAAUUCCAACACCAUGCAAAUUGUUCGAACUAUUCAUUCCUUUAUUUAUUAUCUUCUUGAUAUCUUGUCUAAAUGAGUUUUGGAACUUAAGGACUUUUAUAACGUUUCUUAAUCGGUAAUUUUCUUUUUCGGCAGGUCGAACUUGCUGCACUUCUCCAUGAUAUAGGUCAGUGUUAAGAUCAUAACUUUGAAGCUUGUUUUUGUGUGCUUCAAUUAAAUGGAUUACAUAUGGGUGGAUAAUGGAUAUGGAGUUUUUUGGGGGAAGAUUCAUACUGCAAAACAUGCGCCCAUUCCUAAAUCUUUACUUUUGACUUCUCUUUGGCUACAUGUAACCACAUGCCUUCUUGCUUAUGUGAGCUGUACUAAUCAACUCAACUCAUAAUAAUGGUAUGCAUAUAUCUACACAAACAACCAUUUCUGCAAAAUUCUGUUCUCCAUGGUUUUCAUUUUAUGCUUCUCCUUUCAUGUUUUCAGCCUUGCUUUUAUUUUCCUGUUCUCAUCCUAUAUAACCUACUGACCAUAUUAGUCCUUGGUUGCUCAUUGCAGGUGAUUAUAAGUAUUUGAGGUUUGUAUUUUUCUCAUUCUUUCUUUUCUUUUACCUUUUUAUAUUUCCUUUUUCUCUUUUCUAUUUUCUUUUCUGGUUCUUGCAUCUAUUCAUCCUUAUGGCUAAUGUUGGAAUGUAGAGAUCCCUCAGAGGAAAAAAUUGUCGAAAACUUUCUUGACGAGGAGGGCAUAGAAGAGAGUACCAAAAUGAAGAUUUUAAAGAUCAUUAAGGGAAUGGGUAAGUUGUAAGUUGGUUGCUGCUCCUUCUCAACUUUGUUUCUUCCCUAUUCCGCUCUGCUGAUAUAAUCUUGAUUGCAUUUGUUUGAGUUUAAUGGUAUAAUCUACUUAUCAGCAUUUUGUACUGCAUCAAUGUCCACGCCAUGUCUCUUUCCCAUAUAGGAAACUGUUGUGUGUGUAAACACAUGUACUAAAAUAUGCAUCCCCUGUUUUCGCCAUGUAAUGUUUUAUACCACUUAAUAAUCAUAUGCAAUUUUGUAAUUUCAUUGUAUUUUUUUUAUUUGUUCAAUUCUGAUCUUUCUGCCAGCUCCUUUGUUCAUUCAUUUGGUUCUCUACCUGUACUUCUACUUUCCAGGUUUCAAAGAUGAGCUUGCAGGGUCUGCAAAUAAUGAUCUUCCUCCAGAAUUUGGGGUUGUACAAGAUGCUGACCGUCUCGAUGCAAUUGGUGCUAUUGGUAAUUUGUGUACUUGCUAAUCAAAUGCUUGGUUCUAAAACCAUUGGAUUUUGUCUACCUACUUUGUCUAUGUAAAAUUAAAAUUGGGAUUACUGCUGGAAAAGUAACAGUUGUGCAUAGCUGUUUGCUCUAUGCCCCGACGAUCUUUGGUGUCUUCUUAAUUGCCAAUAAUGAAAGACAGAAAAGUUUCAUGUCUUUCCACCCUCUCUCUCUCUCUCUCUCUCUGUUUGUUUGUUUGUUUUUGUUUUUCUGGCUAUGACCUUUCGCUUUGAUUUGGUCCAUAUAUUUCUUUCCUUGCCUUAUUCCAUUCCCCUUUUUUGUUUGAGGUAUCUCCAUUGUGAAGUUUGUUAAAAAAUGCUUUAGACGAUAGAACAAAUUAUGCCAUUUCACGCUGGUGCACAAUCCUAAGUAGUCUUUGGUACAGGAAUUGCUCGUUGCUUUACUUUUGGUGGAAGUAGAAACAGAGUGCUACAUGAUCCUAACAUUCAGCCACGAUCUGAUUUAUCCAAGGAAAAGUACAUGAAAAAAGAUGAGCAGACUACUGUGAAUCACUUUCACGAGAAGCUUCUUAAGCUAAAGUCAUUGAUGAAAACAAAGGUAAAUUUGUUGAAACAGAAGCAUGAUAUUACACAUUCCUCACAUGGAAUUUUCCUCAUUUGCAUCCAUGCAUCUUCGUGUCUCAUCUGUGCUUGUGCUAAAGUGCAUACAUAUAUAUAUAUAUAUGUAUCAUUUAUACAAUGAGAAUAGCUGGGUGGUAAAUCCAUCUUUUGAAUAACGAGAAAAAUUUAAAGAAUUAUCAAUUUGUGCUAUGGAGUUUGGACAUUGAUUUCAGGCUGGGCAAAAGAGAGCUGAGAGAAGGCACAAGUUCAUGGAGGAGUUUCUUGUGGAGUUCUAUGAAGAGUGGGAUGGGAGAGCUUGAAUGAGGUGAGUCUACUUAAUUUGAUUUAUCUCAGAUAAGUCAGAUGUAACUCUGUCGUACUCCAAAAUAAGGAAACAGAAUUAUAGCAUACAUGAUGCUAACGAUGUUGAAUUUUCUGAUUAUGUUUGAACUUAUUGAUUUUGCUCCUGGAGCCGGCUUCAAGAUGCGGGAUAUAAUAUUCAAAACCUGUUGCUUGAAUUUAUGCAACUGUGUUACAAAAUAUAUUUAUAGUACGAGUUUUUUCUUUGAGGGCUGUGCUAAGUAGAUGAACACCAACCAAGGGAGUGGAAAAAAAUUCAAAACAUUACAGUUCUCUUGUUGAUUGUUUGACGAAGAUUUGAUGAGUGUAGUAGGAACCGUUACUAGGAAUAAGUAAUCAAUUCGAUGAGAACCAGCUCUUCUUCAAGGAUUCUUUUCUUCAACGAGUCUAUUGGAUCAAUACAUCCUAAUGGUAUCCACGGAUUAUGAGACGGUGUAUAAUACCCGAUUUCUGUUGCUCACGGUCACCACAUCUUAUUCACCCAAUGGUACAUCAUUGGACAAACAGAAUUUGGUAAACAAAGUUGGUGAGUUUAGAAGUAGUCUUUCUUGUAUUGUCAUGAUGUGAGUUAACUUUAAGGUGAGGGUCGAGUACGGACCGAGGUAUCCUGGAAGAGGAAGCAAAAAUAUGCACCAACCUCAAACAGAGAAAAAAGCCUCACGUUCGCGGAGGGAGUUCAAAGUUUCAAACCCAACCGCAGGCUGCAGUGAAAAGAGUGUUGGUCAUGAGUUGGUCGCCAAACUAAGCACUAGUUUUUUUUAAGUCCGAGUUAACAUAUUUGGACUACUUUUAUGAAGGCUAAUAAAAACAAUUUCAAAUAACUAAAAAUGUCUUCUGACAUCGUUUAUAUUAGGUAAAUUGAAAAUACAUAAGAUAUCUAUUCAUUUUUGUAGAAAUGUCAUCUAAACUUAUUUAUCAGUUUCAAUUUGUCACUUUAAAGAAAAAUUUAGGAGAAAUGUCAUCUUAAUUUUUCAGAAUCCAUGAUUUGUCAUCUGACUUUAACACCAUCCAUUUUCAAGGGUAUCAUAGUCUUUCCAUUUUCAAGAAAAGAAAUAAAGAAAAAAUAGACCUCUCUCUCUCUUUCUCCCCCACCCCAACUCCACCGGCCCCAAAAACACAUCGCAUUGGACUCCCUCUCCUCCUCUUCUCUCCUCUCUCUCUCUCUCUCUCUCAGCAUGGAAAUAUGAAAAAUACUAAAAAGAAAAAAGAAAAAAAGAAAAAAAAGGUGGACUCUGUUUGGGUAGGUUGAGGGAAUUUGUGUGUGGAGGGUAGGUGUUUCAUGGUAGAUGGAGGAAGGCGUUAUGAAGAGGGAAUGCGUUAUGAAGAGGGAAGGGGGAAUGAAUUUCAAGGUGGGUGGGGUUGGUUGGAGCCGCUGGUGGCGCACAGGGGAUGAGGGAACGUGAGAUUUUUUUUUUCCUUUCAAUUUUAAUUGUUUAAAAGAUAUCACAAAAAAAUUAAGAAUGUUUUUUUCAUUUUUAAAAUAUCCUUAAAAAUGGAAAGACUAAAAUGCCCUUAAAAAUGAAUGGAAAAUUGAAUGGUGUUAAAAUGGGAUGAAAUCAUGGAUUUUGACAAAUUAAGGUGAUAUGUCUCUCAAAUUUUUCUUUAAAGUGAUAAAUUAAAACUGAGGUAUAAGUUCAAGAGACAUUUCUACAAAGGGUAAAUUAUUCAAAUGGUCCUCAAAUUUAUACCCGAUUUACAUUUUGGUCAUUCAAUUAAAUUAUUUGUUCAAAUGGUCCAUCAACUCUAUAUUAAUCGCUCCAUUGAUCCUCCUGUUACAUUAUGUUAAUGUUACUGUCAAAUGUAAGGGUAAAACCGUCCAUAGCCGUCCUAUGUUCUCCAAAUAAGUGAUAAAACAGUGAUACAUAGGUGAUAAAGUGGUGAUACAUAGAUGAUAAAGUGGUGAUGCAUAGGUGAUACAUAGGUCAAAAGUCUUAUUUGCCCCCACAAAUGUAGCAUGUGCUGCUCACAUGACUAAAUUUAACAGAAAAUGUAACGAUAGGACCAAAGCACCAAUUAAUAAAGAGUUGGUGGACCAUUUGAACGAAUAAUUUAGUUUAGGGACCAAAAUGUAAAACAUGUACAAAUUUGAGGACAAUUUGAGUAAUUUAUCCUUUCUACAAAAAUCACUUUUUGUAAUUCAUGUAUUGGACAUUUAGCAAUAAAUAAAGGUAAUGGAAAUUUUAUUUAAGGAGCUGAUUUUCUCACUCCCUUUUACUUCACUUACACUUUUUUUUGCUUAUUAAAAGCUUUGAAUAAAUAUAUUUUUUUUGUUCUUUCUCUUUUCUAUUCUACCAUUAUCUUACAUUAAGGUUUUAAUAACUGAAAUUAAGAAAAGUUAACAACAAAAAAACCAAAAAACAAAAAAAUUGGAAAUUGAUAGAAAUGUAAGUAUUUGUACACCAAUUUUUUUAUUUUUUAUUUACCAAAUAUGUGAGUACCAUUUAUCUUUGUUGUAGUUAAUAGAUAAUAAAUUUUUUGGGCUAACAUGUUUACAGGUAGAAUGACAGGACCCGCCCCGGAUUUCCCUUUGGAAUCCGUGACGAACCUUGCUUCCCAUCCGACAUCUAUCCGAUGCCGAACCCACUUUACUAAAAAGCCAUGUAACCUUAACUUAAACGAAUAAACAAAUCGAUUUCUGCCGAAAUUUCGGUAGAAUCUCCCUUUGAAAAGUACACUUUACCAAAAAAUUUCCACUUGUUAAAAACAAUAUAAAAUAACUUCCCAAUGGGCAGCACACACAAUACUAAGCAUAUAGUUUACAGGAUAGGUCUCGGGCCUUAACUUCAACCCUACGUGGGCAUUAACAUAGCAAUAUGAGGAUUUACGUUUACAACCCGGGGAACAAUAAAAGUAUAAAAAGAUAAAGAAGAAGUUCUUAUAGAGUGGACAGCUGCAAUGCCUCAAUAUGGUGGUCUCGACCUCGGAUAUCUAGAAUCUGGGGGAGCAAAACAUAAAAUGUGAGUGGACGAAAACAAAGUAUUUAACAUAAUUUAUAUGCAACAUUCAUAACCCAUCCGUUUUAGAAAAUAAUGCCAAGUACAAAAAUCCUUUUUAUGCAUACAUAUAAACCAACCGAUACUUGAAAAUUAUUCUAUUAAAUUUGUACCUUAGCAUACCAUAAUGAAAACCAUAAUACUACCUAAAUUUCUUGAAAAACAUUGUCUACUCAAGCAUUUAAUCCUUAUUAUAAAAUUGUAUACCAAUCCACCCCAAAUAUUCCGUUAUUACAUAAUAUAAUCAAUAUAAUAAAAAAUUCUGCUUUUCCAGCAACCAUACCCUUUCUUAGACAUAUGCUGACAAACAUAUAAAAUUUCAAGUAUUUCAAAAUAAUCUAACUCAAAUCCAAACUUAUUUUCAAAUGCUCAUACCUGUGCAGAGUAGUCUCAAUGCACAUGCUCAGAAAACUCAACUUGGAAAUAAGCCCACAAAUGUACCCACACAAAUACCCAUAUACAUAUAUAUAUAUAUAUAUACACAGUCAAAAUUUACACAUCAUCAUUACGUACCAGGGAAAACAAUUCAACUGGGAGAUUGUUUGACUAGACCACAAGCAAGAAUCCUCAAUACUCAUGUAGCUAGAGAUGAGUCAUUCAGCAGAGGACUGUAGCUCCUAAACACGCACAGUAGAAUCCUUAAUACGUGUGCGGCUGAAAUAAGUCUUAUGCGUGCAGACUGCCCGUCAAGGGCCUACUGCACACCCCGCCAAGGGUACCCAGGUUCUAACAUAUCCAAAUAUCCAUCGUUUCCCAGUAUCAAUAUCCAAGGGGAGGUACAUAUAAUGGCGUGUCAUCACCAAAAUCCGAAAAUCUACUUUCAUAAACUAAUAUAUAUAUAUAUAUAUAUAUAUAUAAAAGAAUACACUCUCCCUUAUGAAAUCCACAAAAGUCAUAUUCAUGAAAAAGUCAAAUUCGUAAACUCAUCCGAAAAUCGUAUAACCCAAAACAUAAUAUUCAAAAAACAAAAUUCAUAACUUAAUGGGUAUGACCAAUUUCGAAAAUUCCCAUAAGACAUUGAUAAAAUAUCCAAAAUCCAUAUAACCAAAUUCCAUGUUCAAAUUUCAUAAACAAACGCAAUAUCACCCAAUUCAUAUACUUUAAAAUAAUAAAAAUAAUGAUACCUGAAAAGCCCAUAUCAUAUUCCGAUAAAAUCAUAAUUCAAAACCCACAAUCCAUAUACUUUACAACUAACAAUAAGUUCUAGUAAACCCAUAAGAUACUAUAAAGUCAUAGUUAAAACAUAUAUCAAAUCCCAUAAUCCCAAUAAACUAAGUUCUAAAUCAAAUCUCAUUUAUGCAUGCAAUUCUAUAUUGGAAAAAUAAUGCUCAUUUAAAACAAUGUCCACUCAAAACAAGUCCAACGUUGCUCAAUCCUGAUAGGGCUCUUCCUCUGGAGUACGUAAAGUGUGGGUACCUAUUUGAGAGAAUAAACAGACUUAAUUAAAAAACUUACCAAACAACGAACUUUAACUCAGAACUCUAGUUCUCGGGUCUUGAAGUGUGCACAACCUUUAAGAAAGUUUAUAGGGUCAUUCUAGUACUUCUCUAAGGAUGAGACAAUCCUGGAAGACUCAUGGUCAACUGAGCGGUCAAACUUCUCAUACUGGACAAUUGGGCCCCUGGGGCCCACGAUCUCCGAUUUCUAAUCAAAAAGUUCAUAUAGGUCCAACAAAGUCUACUAAACAAGUCCCGAAGGUUUGAUCUCAAUCGAGCGGUCAUAUCUAAGCCAAUCGACGAUCGGACGACGAUCGUUUCGUCUAAACUUAGAAUCAUUGAUUCGGAGUAUCUGGGACUCCGAUUUUCAAUUUGCAAGUUCCUACACAAUUCUAGAGGUACCGAGAACACCAUAUUUGAAAUUAGAACCGAUCAAACGUUUCGAACCUAUCGAACCCAAAUAUCACAUAAUAAGCACCAUAUCCAUUCGAUAGUCAAACAAUAACCAAAUUCAAAUCCAAGCACAUCGUCGUGCUUAGGACAUCAUGAGGAACAUUCAAGAACACAAUAGGCUGCCGCCACCCUCUAUCGAUAGCAUGUGGGUGUUUCGAGAAAUUUUCACCUCACAAUACCUAUAUCAAAACAUUCAUACUAACAAGGGGAGCAUUUUUUGUCUUGGACCCCUACCAAAAAGUUGCCGGAACUAGGUGAAUCGAAGCCAAAUCUGUGAGGGUUUUGGCCGAAACUUCUCUGCUUCGCAACGGCAGCAAAAACCACUAAUGGUGUCUCGCGACCUAGGAGAAAACAAGAGGGAGGAGAUAGCUACUUGUUCCAAGUGGUGGCGCGACCUAAAGUGGCCGAUGAUGAUGGAAGUUUAUGCCGAAAUUUCUUGUCAAUCCAGUCUGAAAUCCUUGAGGUUUUGAGUUGGAAAAAUGGGUGGGUUUGACAGAGAACGUCGAUACGAAACUUUUGUAACCAAUUUCGCCUGAAACGGACGCCGGAUGAUGAUGAAACCUCCAGUCAAAGUUCUANNNNNNNNNNNNNNNNNNNNNNNNNNNNNNNNNNNNNNNNNNNNNNNNNNNNNNNNNNNNNNNNNNNNNNNNNNNNNNNNNNNNNNNNNNNNNNNNNNNNAACUGGAAUUUUCAUUCUAAGAUUCAUGUCUCUCUGUGUGUUUUAACACACAGGCGUGACUGAGACCGAGUGUGUCAAAGUGUUAAUAAUAAACCCACGAGCGUCACAGAUCCACCGAGCGAGUCCCUCACUCACACCCACACACACACACAGAGAGAGAGAGAGAGAGAGAGAGAGAGAGAGAGAGAGAGAGAGAGAGAGCUGUCUGGUUAUAAAAAUUUGUCUUUAGAAAAAUUACAGUUGUGCCACUGCACUUCCAUAGACCACAACUUCGUCCUUUUAACUCGGAAUUGAACCUGCCAAUUGUAUACGAAUUCGUAUCGUCGAGCUCUAUGCAACGAUACAUCUUAUUUCCCCAAAUUCCUUCCCGAACAAAAAGUAACCAAAGUAACCCUACCCUAAGGGCAAAAUUGUAAUUUCAUAAAUAAAUAAAUAUAAAUAAAAAUGAUUAAAUUGGGUCGGGGUGUUACAUAAAAGAACCAGAGAAUGCAACUAACCAAACUGUGUUUAGGAGCACAGAUAUGCAGAGAGCAAUGUAUGCAUAAUAGUCUCAGAUUUUUAUUCUUUCACAAUAUUAGUAAGUGAUUGUACAUGUCUUCUUAUUAAAGGAAAUUGUAGGGUAAGAGUAAAAUAGUAAAGAGAAAGAAGUAAGGGCAUGUUUACAUAUCAAUAAUGGAGAAAGUAAGGAAUUAGAGAAUUUAGAAAUCGGGGAACUACUGAAUCGGUAUAGGAAGAAUUAUUCUCAUUAAGCUGUUUACUAAACAUAUGGAAUUAGCAAAGGAAUAGGGUUAAUUCCCAUUGUUAUCGUUUACUAACUUUCAUGAAUUAGAAUCCAAAUUAAUUUGAUUACUAUAAUGCCCUGCACAUUUUCACAACACAUAUAUAAUUCUCAAAUUGGCUAAGGAGACCAAACUAAUCCUGCAGCAAACCAGUAAGGCAGUGUAAACAUGAGGAAUCAAUAUGCUGAAUAAGAUGAACAACAGGUGCCCAGUUCAAUGUUAAUGUUAAUAACACCUUUGUCCAAAGCUAAUUUCAAACGAAAACAUAAACUCCAAUAAAUAUAUAUCUUUCACCUACGUAGCUAGUAAACAAUCAAAUAAUAAUAACCUGCAUAAUCUUCAUACAAUUAAAUACAUGAAAAUUCUUGGAACUGAGUUUUUAUUUUAAUUUUUAGGGUUGCAGCGUCUUGGAACUUCUUGGCUUGAGUUUUAUUUAUUUAUUUAUUUAUAUUUAGGGUUUGGGGUGUUUUGGAAUUAUAGUAAAGUGGUAAUGGUAUUUUUGAAAGUUAUUAAGAGAAAAUAGGAAUGAGAAUCGUAUCGACUACUCCCCAUAGUUGAUCUGAUACUUAGUUCUGAGGGGAUGUGAUUACGAAUUUUGAGAUGGGGUCCACUUAUUUUUUCAUUCAUGAUUGCAAGUAAACACAGAGGAAGUCAGGAAUGAAAAUCAUUCCCUUUUAUCUCAUACCCAUUACUGAUAUGUAAACAUGCCCUAAGAGUAGAAUAGUAAAGAGAAAGAAUAAAAAAUAACAAAAUUGAUUAAAAAGUAUUUUAAAAAACAAAAAUAAUUGUAAACGAAGUAAAGGAGAGUGGGAAAAUCACCUCCCUUUAUUUAUUGUAUUUGUGUUUGUAUUUAUUUAAUAAACUAUCAAUUGAGAAAAGAAAAUUAAAAGAAGCGAGAGACGAGACAACGAUUGAGGGAGACGAGAGGUGUUUGAAUUGAAGCCCGGGGGACGGAUGAAUUUAUACACAAGUAUUCCUUGUACAAUAAGAAAUCCUACUAUCUAAGAAUACCAUCUAAGGUAAGGAUUGGAUAUGGAUCAAUUACAGAUUUCUUUCCUAUCUAAAUUGUAUUUACUUUCUAACACUCCCCCUCAAGUUGGAGAGUGAAUGUCAAGAACAUUCAACUUGCGUAACAUAAUAGAAAACUUCUCCUUGCCCAAAGGUUUUGUAAAGGUAUCAGCUAGUUGUUGCGGAGAGUUCACAUAGCGUGUUCUCUCAUGAAAGACUGGGUUUGCCGCUAUAUUUAGUAUUGCUUGAUUAUCACAAUACAUACGAGAUGCUCCAGAAGAUGGCAAGUGUAAAUCUUGCAACAAAAAACGUAACCAAGUAAUCUCACAACAGGUGCCAGCCAUUGCCCUAUAUUUGGCUUCAGCUGAGGAUAAUGAAACUGUCUUUUAUGAUUUUUUUUGCCAGGAAAUUAAUGAAUUACCCAAGAAUACACAAUGUCCGGUAGUUGAACGACGGGUUAUAGUAUAACCAGCCCAAUCUGAAUCAUAAUAAGCAAUUAAAUCUAACUUAUUGUCAUACUGAAAAGCAAACCUUCACUCGGAGUAGACUUGAGGUACCGAACAACCUAGAGAGCGGCAUUCAUGUGAGAUAGUCGCGGCAUGAAAUGGCACAGGACAUGUAUGGAAUAGGUGAUGUCCGGUCGUGUAAUAGUCAGAUAAAGCAAUCGUUCCACCAAUCUUCUAUAUUUUUCAGGAUCUUUGAGAAUUCACCUUUGUCAGAAAGCUUGGCUUCCUCCAUUGGAAAAUCAAUUGAGCGAGCACCUAAGAACCAAUAAUCCUUAAGUAUCUCAAGUGCACACUUUCGUUGUGAAACAUAAAUGCCUCUCUUGGAAUGAGAGACUUCAAUGCCCAAAAAAUAUUUCAAAUUGCCUAAGUCCUUGAUGUGGAAACGAGUGUGUAAGAAACUUUUGAGAGAAUUAACUGCAUCAAUAGCGUUGCCUGUAAUCAGAAUAUUAUCAACAUAAAUUAACAAUGCUGUAAAAGACUUGCCAUCUUUGUGGGUGAAGAGAGAAUAAUUGGCCUUUGACUGAAUAAAACCAGCAGCAAGAAUGGCUUCAGUAAACUUGGCAAACAAUUGUCGAGAGGCCUGUUUGAGUCCAUAAAGAGAUUUGUGGAGGUGACACACUAGAUUCUCCCCAUGUUGCCGAAGACCAGGAGGAUGAAACAUAUAUAUAUUUCUUCAUGUGAAUCACCAUGGAGAAAAACAUUAUGGACAUCGAGUUGGUGGAUAACCCAUUGCUGAUUGGCGGUGACAGCUAAGAGACAACGACGGUGAUCAUCUUAGCAGUGGGAGAAAAAGUUUCGUGAUAAUCUAGGCCCUCUGUUUGAGUGAAUCCUUUGGCAACAAAGCUAGCUUUAUAGCAUUCGAUAGAACCAUCAGCACAAUGUUUGAUCUUGUACACCCAUUUGCAGUCAAUUGGAAAUUUGCCGGAGGGCAAAGCAGUAAGUGUCCAAGUGUGAUUGGCAGCAUUCAAAGCACAAGUAAACUAUAAUAAUCACUUAUCAUUGACAAUGAGUUGACAAGAUGAAAACUUAUAUUAAUAUUGGGCACGAAGCUUGUGCCAAAAUAUCAAUAGGCACAAAAUAAAUUCGUCGAGCAUCUCCAACCGAUAUAUCAAAUUGUCACAUGGACAUGAAAUAUCAAAAAUUGAAGGUUAAAGUUGCUCUAAUCGAGUAGUCAAAUCCUACAUGAAUUUGAAGGCUGGAAGAGAUAUGUCAAAAAUAACAUACCAAAACACUUGAUGUCAAAUAUUAUUUUAAUAUUUUUUCAAUCUAAGCCCCAAUAUCAUUUACUCUCUUUAAAACUUUAUGCGUUUAUGAGCAUCAUUUGUUUUUAAAAAUAUAAUAAAAUAAUAUGAUAUUUGGUAUUUCGAGUGGAGUUAAAUUUUUUUCAAAGUAUCAAAAGACACAUUUAUUGCAAUACGUUGGAUCUGGAACAUCCUCGCUUAUACACGCACUUCAUCAACAUCUAUAUAUAUUCAUACAACACAAAGCAAAUUCCAUGAAACAAAAACAAAAAAGACAUGGAGAAGACAAACACGAUUGUCUGCCAAGUAUAUUGGCGAUCAUUUGGUCAUGGAAGGAGGCACCUGUGGAGCAGCAGUUGGUGGCCCAGUCCAACCUACAUCAUAAAAACAAAUACAAAAUAAAAAUUGAAGUGCCGCCGAAUGAUGCAAGCAAUGAUAAAUUUAAGGUCAUAACUAUACGAUGACGACAUAUAUGUGUCGUGUAGGAUUAGUUUAAAACCUUUGGAGGGGUUGAAGCCUCUAAAUUUGAGCUCAGCAUAUUCUUGGCUGAGGGCACACGGUUCACAUAAACAAUGAACACAACAAUCCCAACAAGGCUCCUCCGGCAGACCAAAUUUUUUGCGCAUUAUCCCUCUAUACUUGCUUGAGUAGGUCCUCUGCAAAUGAUACGUCGAGAACAACACGUACAGUAUGCAAUGGCAAAGGCAAGCUAAAUUUAAAAAAUCCAACCGCCAAUUAGUAACACACCAUUGACCUAAUUAUCUUAAUAAUUAAAGGCAGCACAGUUGGUGCAAAUAGAAAUUAAUUUUUCCAUAUACAACAGUCUAUGUAUCGUAACAGUUCUCUCACACUAAGUGAUUACGUGAUUAUUACUAGAGAACUAAAUGCGAGAGACCAAUUAUAUAUACAACCACUUUGAGGGAAAAAUAAUAAAUUCGCCAUGUUUAUAUAUUUGGGAAAUCUUUUUGGUUUUGUGACACUUACAUUUUUGUCCUUCGUCGACAACUUCUGCAAUUUGGCCGAAGGUGAUGCAUGGGAGAAAACAUGCGAUGCAACCUACACCACACGAUCAAUUUCACCAAUUGGGUGGGUUGAGUAUAUAUAUAUAUAUAGGUCAAUGAUUUCCCCACUUCCUUUUUUCUCCACUUACACUUCUUUUUGCUUUUUAAUACUUUGUAAUCAAUUUUUGUUCUUUUUCUUUUCUAUUCUAUCCUUACCCUACAUUAAUUUAUUUUUUACUUCACUUCUAUAUUAUUUCUUUUUCUUUAUACUUGAUUUUCUAACUUACACUCUAAUUUCAGUAUUAAAGGGAAAAAAAACUUAAUUUCUUACUAGAUUAAAGAAAAAAAAAAUACUGAAAAUGGAGUGAAAGUUGGAAAAUUAAAUAUAAAGGAAAAAAACUAAUAUAAAAGUGAAGUAAAAAGAAAUUAAUAUAGGGUAAGGGUAUAAUAGGAAAGAGAAAGAACAAAAUUGAUUAAAAAGUAUUUAAAAGCAAAAGGGAGUGUAAAUGGAGAAAAGGGGAGUGAGUAAAUCAUAUCCUUAUAUAUAUUUAUAAAAGAAGUGCUAAAAAAUGUUACUUGGUGUAAAUUUAACUUGUCAGGUAACUAUAAUAGACAAAGUGAAUUUUGCCCGGAGAGAGAAUUUAUUAUCUUACAUGUGCAGAUAUCUCCUCCACAGUUAAAAGACACGCGGACCACUGCUUAGGUUCAAGAUCAUAAUCUUUCAUCAUGGUGUUCUUUUAUGAGAUCAGAAUUUGAACCAAAAAAAAAAAAUGAUUGCUGGAAAUGGAAAAGUUUCAGUAAUGUAAGAGGAGAUGUAAGAGAGAAAAAGACUGUCGGAGAAUGAAAUGUUUCGAAAAAUGUAGAAGUGCCUUGCUUGAAUCAAUACAGUGGUUUAUAUCCACUUACAAAGAAUCAACAUUUACUGGGUAAGACCCUAUAGACUAGACUAAACCCUAGAGGACAAAGGUGGUCGUUAUCCACUUAUAGCUGUAUGAAUUUCCUUUGUUUUGUAUGAAUCUCCUUCGUUUUGUCUGAAUCUACUUCGUCUUGUCUUAAUCUCAUUCGUCUUCAAAUGAAAUUUAGAGAAGAAUUUUCCAAUAGUCUACUACAGCGUGCACUUGGUCCAUGUUGUAAAAAACGUGCAAUAGACGGUGUAAAAAAGGUGCAAUAGACGUUGUCAAAAACGUGCCAUAGACGCGCAUUGUUAAUGGCAUAUUGUCAAAGCUAUUUUUCUUGUAGUGUAGUGUCUUUUCUUAGGCCAUUUCUAGUCAUGGGUCAUAGGCCAAAUAGGCCAUGUUUGGUACGUCUUACUGGACUGGACUGAUACAUAUAUAUAUAUAUUGUUUUUUUAAAUAUUGUUUUACUUGGUUCCUAAAAAACCUAGAAUUAUAUAGAGUGAGUUUAGCUCCUUUAGCAAUGUUUCGACCAACUAAGAUUAAUCUUGAGAAGCCAAAAAAAUAAAUAUCAUAAUUUUAUUCUUCAUUAAAAAAAAACAUAAUUUUAUUUGUUUUCUUCUUAUUAUUUUUUAAAAUCUUUUUUUUGGCCAGAUAUUGUUAUAAAUCAUUAUUGUUUUAGGUCAAAAACCUCAAUUAAAUUUAAAUAUUACAAGAAUUAUUUUUUAGUCCGACGCAAUACCAAACAUAGGUCUUCAUUAUUUUUACAAUCCAGCUUCUUAGUCCAACACAGCACCAAACGUAGGCCAGUACUUAAUCCAGCUUAGUCCAAUCCGAACUAAUCCAAGACAGUCUCAGAAUUUAGUCUAGUCCAUAACAGUUUGCCGUACCAAACGACCCCAUAUAUUCUUAAAAUAAUGCAAAACCCAUCUUUAGCCAUGGGCUAAAAAAUAAAUUGAGCUAAAUUUGGAGGGCCACACUUGGCCCUUUAACCCUCCAACUAGGCCAAUUGUAGCCUAGCUUUGGCCUAGGUCAAAUUUUUUUGUGGGCCUUAUGUAUGUGCUUUUCAAGAAAAGAAAUUAUCAAGUGUGGAUAAGAGCAUGAAACAUCUCGUGCAAAUGCAUAUCCAACAACCAAUAUUAAAGGCACGUUGAUGUCAUCGAUGACAUCAACUAGCUGUUAAGAAUUUUCAAAAUUUUAAAUAACCUUUUUAAAUGUUGUCAACGUAUACGUGUCAUGUAUGGAAUAUUGUCUCUAAAUAGUAGCUUAAUUAAAUUAAACAAUACAUAAUUGUGGAAUGUAUGAGUAUUAUACCAUAGAUUUUCUCAAAAUAAUAAAAUAUGAAGGACCCUAAAAUAUAGCCCUGCAUGGUUGAAGAUGAAAAAAUUUAAUCAUGUACUAUUCUUUAAAACAUUAAUAUUUUGAAAGGCUAAAUUUAUAGCCUUUGACUACAUUUAGCCCUAUGAAUGAAGACGGCCUUAAAGGGUUUCCUGUUGGGUUAACAUCAUUAAUAAUAACAUGGUGCUUGCUCUACCAAGAGAAGAAGCAUAUGCCUAUAAUAUUGCGUUCCAGUUGUAAGUGGAUAAGGACCACCUUUGUAUUCUAGGGUUUCGUCUUGUUUAGGGUCUUACCCAGUAUAUAUUGAUUGUUUGUAAGUAUAUAUAAAUCAUUUGAUUCUUUGUAAGUGGAUAUAAACCACUAUUUGCAUUGCGAAAUUUUCUCUAAAUUUCAUUUUGACAACGCGUAUUAAAGGAACAUUGUUAUACGUAGUGUACUACAAUGUGCACUUGGUACAUGUUACAAUUAACUUCCUAUAAUAUAUGACAAAGAAUCAAAUUAUUUAUAUCCACUGACAAGGAAUCAAUAUAUACUGGGUAAGACCUUAAAUUAGACGAAACCUUAAGACCUUAGAUUAGACGAAACCCUAGAAGACAAAGGUGGUCCUUAUCCACUUACAGCUGGAACGCACUAUUAUAUUCUAAAAUAUGAGACUUAUGAGAGAAUAUUUGUUUGUAGGAAUUUUCUGUGUAUUCCUCUCCUUGUAGGAGGUUAUAUUCAUAAUACAACGGAGCCUUAGUGGCCAAGUAAAUAAUGAAUUUCUAUUUUUAUUUAUGAUAGAAAAUCAAAAAUUAAAGUAAAUCAAAUACAAUUAUAAUGAGAAUCUUUGGUGUGUGAGCAAAGAAAGUCAAUGAUCAGACCAACAUUAUAUGCAUAUGCUUCUUGUCUUGGUAGAGUAAGACACUGGCAAAGUCCAUAUAGAUAACAAAAAUGAAUAAAUGAAUAAAUGAAUAAAUAUAUAUAUAUAUAUAUAUAUAUAUAUCAGCAUGUUCUUGGCAGAGGGUACACGACGUCAAAGUCUCUAAAUUUUGUCAGAAUUAUAUUAUGCUUAACAUUAUAAUUUGAUUAGUGUUUUUGAUAUUGGGUGUUUACAUGUUGUUAAUUAUCAUUAUAUUAUUUUAUUAAUAUUGAUAUGUUCAUAUGUUUUUUACGAUGGUUGGAAUUUUUGGGUUAAUAAAGAAAUUAUGAAAAAGAAGGUUAUGGGAAGGAUCGUUUGUGUAGUUGAGUCUGACCAUUGUAGGGACCAAGUUCAGGUGAGCUCGUGUGCACAAUAGAUUAGGAUAUUGGCGGUAUAAUUGUUGAUUGGGUGAUUUGGGCUUGAGAUCAAUGGCUGAGACAAUAUGACUAACAAAAGGGGAAUUAUGAGAUGAUUGAGAUGAGGUGUUAGUUUAUAUAAUGGGGCAUUCAAAAUUACAGUGGUAAAAUGCAUGGUAUAGGACAUGCAAAUUUGCUUUUCCUAUUAUAUAGAUUAACGAAUUAGGUAGAAUCGAAGCUCAUUCAUGCAUUAUUACGCUAUUAAAAAAUUGCUCUAUGGACACAUAAGAAGGAUCAUGCCUUUUUCAACAUCAUUGAGCACAAAAAUUGCUCAAAUGUGUGUUUUUAUACAAAAGACACUCUAAAUAUGUGUCUAAGAGCAUUUCCAAUGUAGCUAUCAAAUGCAAAAUGUUAAAUUUAAAUUUGAUGGCUCUUGUCAAGACCACAUCAAGUAACCACUAGCUGUUUGGGCCUGACUAUGCGAACCCGAACCUGGAUGGAUCGGAUCCUAAGGGCAAGGAGGAGUAGGAGAAGCAGAGCAAGCCCUUCACUAUAAAAAAAAAAUACUGCUAGUGUUCCAGUCAAAUCUUCCAUUCCAAUCCAAAUACCAAGUAUCGAUUAGUGUCUGCUCUCUAGAGAGAGAGAAGAAAUUAAAGCAGGGAAGGGAAGGGAAGAGAACGAUGGGGUCAGUGGGAUCAUGGGAAGAGACGGUGAGAAAGGCAGAGAAGCUGGUAGAGGAAGCCAUGAAAGACAAUGAUGCAUCCCGCGACGCAGCUCACGUCUGGAGGGUCAGAGACCUCGCUCUCUCUCUUGCCCGUGAAGAACAAGGCCUCUCCCUCCUCUCCUCCAAUUCCAACACCAUGCAAAUUGUUCGAACUAUUCAUUCCUUUAUUUGUUAUCUUCUCGAUAUCUUGUCUAAAUGAGUUUUGGAACUGAAGGACUUUU